rnacentral:rRNA from 1 species
UACGGAGGGUGCAAGCGUUGUUCGGAAUUACUGGGCGUAAAGGGCGCGUAGGCGGUCUGUUAAGUUCGGUGUGAAAGCCCCCGGCUCACCUGGGGAACUGCGCCGGAAACCGACAGACUCGAGUACCGGAGAGGAGGGUGGAAUUCCUGGUGUAGCGGUGAAAUGCGUAGAUAUCAGGAGGAACACCGGUGGCGAAGGCGGCCCCCUGGACGGAUACUGACGCUGAGGCGCGAAAGCGUGGGGAGCAAACAGG